ACGGCCAUACUACAUUGAAAACACCGGUUCUCGUCCGAUCACCGAAGUUAAGCAAUGUCGGGCCCUGUCAGUAUUUGGGAGGGUUGACCGGGUGCUGUAGGCU